GGAGGGGUUCCCGAGUGGCUAAAGGGAGCAGACUGUAAAUCUGCCGGUUUUCACCUUCGAAGGUUCGAAUCCUUCUCCCUCCACCA
rnacentral:tRNA from 1 species